rnacentral:lncRNA from 1 species
AAUUCUUUCAACUUUCAACUUUAUUUGAUCACUCAGACACAACACAUACGCGUAACAUAAAGGUUUUGCCAAAUACAGCCAAGGCAAUCUUUUUAAAAGACUUUGUCAAAUAGGAAUGAAACCAAUAUCUAUGUCCAUCAAGAAAAGAACAUCUAAAUUUUUAUACAUCUCUUUUAAUCUAAUAUCAAUUUACAUUCAUAUUAUAUCACAAAGUUUUUACAUCUUUAUAUUACAACAUUGCACAAUUGUAUGACUAAUCCUUCAAAUUCUAUCUUGUACAGAUAUCUCAUUAAUGCAGCAUUCAAUUGUUUAAUGUGUAAAAUUAUACAUAUAACCCUUACUCUCAACUGUUAUUUUUUAUAAAAUGGAAUUUGUAAAUUUUCAAAUUUUUUUAAAUUGAAAAUUUGAAUCCUGAUAAUUAUCUGUAACCCUCAGUAGCGGAUCCAGAAAUUUUCAUAAGUGGGGCCCACUGACUGACCUAAGAGGGGGCCCGCUCCAGUCACGCUUAGUGAUCCCUAUAUAAGCAACCAAAUUUUUUCCCAAAAAGGGAGUCCGGCCCCCGCCCCCCCCCCCCCUUAAAUCCGCCUCUUACCCUUAAGUUCAGUUAUUCAUCAUGCUCAUUCAUAAAAAGAGUAGUAUAAUUAUUUAUAUCUUAGACCUUUGUAUAUCCUUAUAGAUGAGAAUUCCUCUUUAUUUACAUUUCAUACCGAUUUAUUACAUAAAUUUUAUUAUUUUGAUCAUAAUACUGUCACUCUGAAAUCAUCUGAAAUCACUAUCAUGAAUUCUUCAAGCUUUCAAUGAAUCCAAUAGCUACAUUUGAUGAAAUAGAACAUGCAAACUUAUAUGAUUUUCAGUAUAUGUCAUUUCUAGUGUAAAUCUCAGUAUUUAACAAAGAAGGCCAAGUCAAUUGAAUUACCAUAUCUUAUAUGCCUGUGACUGAAUAAUGCCGGAAGCUAAGCACUCAGAGUCCAAGAUUGAACAGCUUGACAAAAUCAAAGCCAGGCAAUGUCCAAUGGACAAUUUUAAUACUGGCAGUUGUUAUAAUAACACGGGGAAUGGCAGUUCAUGAUCAAUUACAUGAAAAAAUAAAAUUGAGGAAUUUGUCAAGAUUUAUUCGAGUCAGAGACCAAAUACACCCAAAAAGACAAGUAGAAAAUCACAAAAAACAUCUCUCAUAAUGUAAUAAAUUAAAUUUCGAGAUAUCAGAGUACUUUGAAAUAUAAAUUUUAAUGAAAUGUAUUAGUGAAUAGUUGAAUUCUUAUCAAACACUUCCAAGAGAUAUAUACAAGAUAUGAAUUAUCAUGAUUAUAACUUAAAAUCAUUACUAUUCAACAUAAAUAACUUGAUUAUUUGUACAGAAAUAUACACACAAACCUAUACAUAAUAUAUAUGUGUAAUGUUAUGUUGCCAUACAAAUAACAAUCAUAAAUGCUGAUUCUACUGUAGUCACUUGUAUCCAAAUUUGGCAUUUGUGAUGAUUCAGCACUUCACCUAAAGGUAAUUCAGGCCCAUCAGUUGAAGUAGACUAUUAUAAUUUUAGAUCCAACAAAACAAGGUAUUUUCAAAUUUCUAGAUACAAAAAAAAAUUGCUAGAUAUGGAAAGGUGAUUUUAGCUGACAACACAUUUUAUCCCUAACGCAUAUGAGUAUUUUACACUGUUCUACCAACAGGGAUUUCUCAACAAAAUCUAAGUCCAUUUAGUUCAUACACAGCAAUUUAAAUAAAAUGUUUGGACCUAAAUAUUCUAAUCUACCAAACCGGUUAAAAAUAUUAAGAGUUUAGGUUAUGUCCGGCAAAUGUGACUGUUUCAGGACCCUUGGACAUCAUUCAGUCAGUAAAAUUUAAUAAAUAAACAUACCCAUUCAGGACAUACCUUGAUAAAGACCAGUAAAUGGUUAUACAUAUGCAUAUAUUAUCGCAUCAAUAAUAGUAAUUAUUGUAUACAAGUAGUGUUGAACUUGUGUGGAGGAGAGUAAAUGGUGAAGACAACAGUUGAUUAUAGCAUACAUAAUAUACAGUUACUUAUUUAUCAUUAUAUAUUAAUGGAUAAAGAGACAGUAUCGAAAGCAUAACAACAAAAACUAUCAACAUAACAUUACACAAAUCCUAUACAUAAUAUUAUUCUUUUGCAUAAACAAUGAACAUUACUCUCAGUCAAAAUAUUACACAACCCAAAACGUAAUCUUAUGAAUUGAUUAUUUCCUUGAACUCACACAAUGUAGAUAUGCUAUGUUCGGCAACCCAAAUCUACACUUACAUGUUGUUUUCCUUUAGAGUUUAACCAAACUAUAGUUAACCACUUCAAACUGCUUGUAAUUUUACCACUGGUUAAGUCUGGACUAAUGUCUUGAUAUAAGGCUCUACAAUUUCAUAGAUUGUGUAAUCUACAAAUCAGAGUUCCUGAAAUCUGAUCCCACUGUUAGUCCUCACUACUAUAUUCAUUGCAAAAUGCCCAAUUUUGUUGGUCCUUUAUAAAAUUCUGGUGGUCAGGUUCUCAUACCUGUCAACCUGUGACGUUUAAAAUGCAGGUCAUGACCUGCAUUGAAUAAUCAAAUCUCAGGUCAUAACGCGUAAGAACUUUUUCGAGCUGAAUUUCAGUAUUUCUGGUACAUUUUCUUAUAAUGUAUAUCAAAGAUACCAAAACGUCAAUGCAUGUUCACUU